rnacentral:rRNA from 1 species
GUGCCAGCAGCCGCGGUAAUACGUAGGUGGCAAGCGUUGUCCGGAAUUAUUGGGCGUAAAGCGCGCGCAGGCGGUUUCUUAAGUCUGAUGUGAAAGCCCACGGCUCAACCGUGGAGGGUCAUUGGAAACUGGGAGACUUGAGUGCAGAAGAGGAAAGCGGAAUUCCAAGUGUAGCGGUGAAAUGCGUAGAGAUUUGGAGGAACACCAGUGGCGAAGGCGGCUUUCUGGUCUGUAACUGACGCUGAGGCGCGAAAGCGUGGGGAGCAAACAGGAUUAGAUACCCUGGUAGUCC